rnacentral:lncRNA from 1 species
UUAGACACUAUCAACUUAUACGUCCAAUGUGAAACACCAAACAUCUAAAAUAUAGUGGGUGCAUGUGCACCCAUUGUCUCUAACCUAGCUUUGCCCCCGAGUGUACGCCUUAUCUGAGUUGCAAGCCUCGACAACCAGACCGUUGGUACGUAAAUUAAAGAUCAUAGUAUUUAUAAAAUAUAGACGUUUUAAAAUUAAUAAUUAAGAGUAAAUACCAAACCUGCUUAACC